CUGCUAGCCUAGUUGUCACAUUGGUUUCUAAAAAGAAGAGCGUGUGUAGCGUAAGUUGACAUUGGGUUAGCUAGAAGUAAUUUUUAAUAGAACAGCAAUAGGGCCUAACUUAUCUACCAAAAUAUCUAGAUUCUAGUCUAGUUCAUCACACAUUGGCAAACUUGGGAAUUUUUGGUGAAAAAUCAAGGAAGCUUAUUAAAAGAAGAAAAAAUUUAGAAAAUGUUUAGAGUGCAAAGGGCUGGCGGUGACGGUGAAGAAGAGAGGAGAAAAAUGGAGGAAGAAACUAAACUAGCUCGAUUGGUUACCUAUAGGAAUAUAAUAGCUUUUGGCAUUUUCUGUGGUAUAAUCAGAGCAACCCCAUGGGUCCUGAACAAGAUGUAAGUUUCUUUGGAUGUGAACAUACUGAAGCUGCCAGUCCCCGUGUUUUGAAGUUGUUCCUGGCGCACUUUGCAAGAAAAAAAAACAAUGAUUGUAGAUAACUUGGCAUUUUAAAACGAUUCUCUGUCUCUCAGUACUAUUUCUUAGACUACAGCAAAAAUGUUUUUAAAGUGAUUAAUUUUAUACAUAAGGUACAUUUUGGUAAUUUGAUUAUUUCACUGUAACUAACCAUAUAGUCAUCAGAUUUUUUUUUUAAGUUAAUCAUUAAAUGAAGUUCAUGAAUAUUUUAUACAAUGUGAUAAAUGAUUAAGGUAUCUGACCUUGUGACAAGGUAACAUGACUUAACAGGAAGUUUGGCCUUGUACAAAUAAACAAAAAAAAGCUCUCACAAAUA